AGAGUUUGAUCCUGGCUCAGGACGAACGCUGGCGGCGUGCCUAAUGCAUGCAAGUCGCACGCAGAGUGCUUGCACUCUGAGUGGCGCACGGCUGAGUAGCACGUGGGAAUCGGUCCAAGGGUGGGGGGAUAACUCCGCGAAAGCGGGGCUAAUCCCCGCAUAGCCUCCUCGGAGGAAAGCGGUAACGCGCCAUCGGACGAGCCCGCGGCCCAUCAGGUUGUUGGCGGGGUAACGGCCCACCAAGCCACUGACGGGUAGCUGGUCUGUGAGGACGACCAGCCAGACUGGGACUGAGAUACGGCCCAGACUCCUACGGGAGGCAGCAGCAAGGAAUUUUCGGCAAUGGGCGCAAGCCUGACCGAGCAACGCCGCGUGCGGGAUGACGGCCUUCGGGUUGUAAACCGCUUUUGGGGGGGAUGACACACGACAGUACCCUCCGAAUCAGCCCCGGCUAACUCUGUGCCAGCAGCCGCGGUAAUACAGAGGGGGCAAGCGUUGUCCGGAUUGACUGGGCGUAAAGCGCACGUAGGUGGCUUGGCAAGUGGGGUGUGAAACCCGUCGGCUUAACCGAUGGACGCCAUCCCAAACUGCUAGGCUUGAGCCGUGUAGAGGUCCGUGGAAUUGCCGGUGUAGUGGUGAAAUGCGUAGAGAUCGGCAGGAACACCAAGGGGGAAGCCAGCGGACUGGGCACGUGCUGACACUGAGGUCGACAGCGUGGGGAGCGAACCGGAUUAGAUACCCUAGUAGUCC
rnacentral:rRNA from 1 species